rnacentral:misc_RNA from 1 species
GGGGUGACAAGUCAAGAAUGCAGCAGGGAACGCUUUAUUGCUUCUUACGCUGCAUGGUUUAACAAACUCUUAGUCCAUCUUCAGUCCCCUGCAGAUUCUCAGUUUGUGAAGGUAGCUACUUGUGCCUCCCUGUCAGAUUUGUUCACAAGGUUGAGUGGAUUGCCAAAUGCAAAGAAAGAUGGUAUAGCACUCAGUACAAAACUAAUUCAACCAUUAUUGAAGCAGCUAAACGAGGAUAA